UACGUAGGGUGCAAGCGUUGUUCGGAAUCAUUGGGCGUAAAGCGCGUGUAGGCGGUUAGAUAAGUCGAGUGUGAAAUCCCUGGGCUUAACCGAGGAAGUGCAUUCGAAAACUAUCUGGCUAGAAGACGGCAGAGGAAGGUGGAAUUCCUAGUGUAGAGGUGAAAUUCGUAGAUAUUAGGAGGAAUACCGGUGGCGAAGGCGGCCUUCUGGACCGAUCUUGACGCUGAGACGCGAAAGCGUGGGGAGCAAACAGG
rnacentral:rRNA from 1 species